rnacentral:rRNA from 1 species
UACGUAGGGCGCAAGCGUUGUCCGGAAUUAUUGGGCGUAAAGAGCUCGUAGGCGGCUUGUCACGUCGGGUGUGAAAGCCCGGGGCUUAACCCCGGGUCUGCAUUCGAUACGGGCUAGCUAGAGUGUGGUAGGGGAGAUCGGAAUUCCUGGUGUAGCGGUGAAAUGCGCAGAUAUCAGGAGGAACACCGGUGGCGAAGGCGGAUCUCUGGACAGUUCCUGACGCUGAGGCACGAAGGCCAGGGGAGCAAACGGG